GGAACCUGUCCCAAAUUGACGAUGUCAGAAGCAUUCUGCCUGUAUGUGCUUUGCUGGUUCAGGGCUGGAUGUUUAAAGGCAUCGUAUUAAAAACUUCUGUUCACUGUCUGGAACAACUCUUCAUUCUCCAAUCAAAAUUUCAGGAGUAGAGAAGGACAGACUUCUGUCUAAGGGUGGAUUCUGAGCAUGAUUGUCAAUGCAAAAGGACAACACCUACGAUGCCUGAGGAGUAGAUCUUUGCUGAAGAUCAGUCUCAAGAACAGCUCUGGACUAGAAUGGCAUGUCUGGAAAUAGAUCCAUUGAUGGAGCACUAUGGGAGAAUCCCACAAUUAUUAUUCUAUGUAUGCCAUAACUAAAGAAUUGGAGUAUAUACUGCUUUAUGCUUCUCCAUGUAUAUUUUGGUUUAAGGUAUGACUGUCAAAUAUUUAAGAAUAUUUCUCAACAUGUUUGAGCUUUUUGAAUUACCUUCUUUAGAUGAAUAGUCUUAUUUUUAGGCUUGAAUUCCUGUGAGAAAUGAAACACUGAACUUGCAGAAUUUUCAAUAAGAGUAAUGGUCAUUGGCUCACUACUGAACUGUGGAAGAGGUAAGUCACGGAUAAGAAAAUGCAAUAUGUCAUCAAAAGAAUAUAUAGGCUGAUUUUUAGAAGCUGUUAGAGUAUGCAUAGAGGUUUGAAGUCUAUUAAUAAAUCAUGAGAUAGCUGCCUUACCUACCCAGAUAAUUUUGUCAUCUUUCUACAGAUGAUCACAUUGCUUACAGCUUUAUAAAAGUAUUAGGAUAUUUAUGCAAAUAAGCACAUAUUCAGGGACAUUUACUAAACCUUGCAUCCAUAAACAAGCUUAGUAUCUCAUGCCACAAGAAGUUGUGAAAGAAUAGACCUAUGCAAAGUUUUAUGGGGAAAAGAAAAAAGGAAAAAUAACCUCAGCCUUGUUAAAAUGACAUAACAUUAUGCCAGCUCACGUUCUUGAUUCCAAAGAGCAAUAUUGUAAUGAGGAAAGAACAUCUAAUUUAUUGACAUAUUGUGACCUACAUAUUUACUUUAAAUUUUAGACUCAUUCACAACAAAGAUAGAAUGUGAAACUCCAUCUAUGAUACAUUUUCUGCUUGGAAGAAAUACGACGUCACUCUAGCUCUGGAACAAGGGAAGGAAGAUAUAUAAAACUGAGAUUUUACAUGAAAAGAAAGACCAAGUCUGGCCUAAAACUCAGUAUUUUGAAGUGAUAUCUUGUAGGAAUUCCUAAAUAAAAUUACCAAGGAGAAUAUGAGUAGUCCUUUUUUCUUCUAAAAUAAUCAAGUUAAUUACAGAAUUGACUGAUUUUUUUUUUAAUU